rnacentral:rRNA from 1 species
GGAAUAUUGCACAAUGGGCGCAAGCCUGAUGCAGCCAUGCCGCGUGUAUGAAGAAGGCCUUCGGGUUGUAAAGUACUUUCAGCGGGGAGGAAGGGAGUAAAGUUAAUACCUUUGCUCAUUGACGUUACCCGCAGAAGAAGCACCGGCUAACUCCGUGCCAGCAGCCGCGGUAAUACGGAGGGUGCAAGCGUUAAUCGGAAUUACUGGGCGUAAAGCGCACGCAGGCGGUUUGUUAAGUCAGAUGUGAAAUCCCCGGGCUCAACCUGGGAACUGCAUCUGAUACUGGCAAGCUUGAGUCUCGUAGAGGGGGGUAGAAUUCCAGGUGUAGCGGUGAAAUGCGUAGAGAUCUGGAGGAAUACCGGUGGCGAAGGCGGCCCCCUGGACGAAGACUGACGCUCAGGUGCGAAAGCGUGGGGAGCAAACAGGAUUAGAUACCCUUG